rnacentral:tRNA from 1 species
GGCCCGUUCGUUCAGCGGCUAGGACCCCAGAUUCUCAGUCUGGAGAGGUGGGUUCGAUUCCCACACGGGUCACUA